GCCUCCUUGGCUCAGUUGGCUAGAGCGCCAGUCUCAUACUUAGAGUAUGACCACGGACAGUGGGUAAUCUGGAGGUCGCAAGUUCGAGCCUUGCAGGGGGCA